AUACUACUCGCCGUCUAAGUCUAUUCACAAUUCCAUUGAAAUUCACAGUUAAAAUGGCGACCUGGAACAAGAUUUUCUUCGUUUGCGUGUUGGUACCCGCCUUACUGAUGGCGAUCGUCCUACCAGCAGUUACAGCGGAAGAUUCAGCUGAACACUCAAUUUUGGUGAAGAGGCGUGUUAAUCUUGGAAAAGUUGUGAAAGUAGUCAAACCAAUAGCAAAAGCACUACUUACUACUCUACUGUAAAACCGAUCCGGAAGCGGAAUCUGUAUUAUAUUAAAAUUACCUUUGUCAAGUUCCUUCAUUAAAUUUUACGAGCAUAAAAAAAACAAA